rnacentral:rRNA from 1 species
UUAAGCGACUAAGCGUACACGGUGGAUGCCCUGGCAGUCAGAGGCGAUGAAGGACGUGCUAAUCUGCGAAAAGCGUCGGUAAGGUGAUAUGAACCGUUAUAACCGGCGAUGUCCGAAUGGGGAAACCCAGUGCAAUUCGUUGCACUAUCGUUAACUGAAUACAUAGGUUAACGAGGCGAACCGGGGGAACUGAAACAUCUAAGUACCCCGAGGAAAAGAAAUCAACCGAGAUUCCCCCAGUAGCGGCGAGCGAACGGGGAGCAGCCCAGAGUCUGAAUCAGCUUGUGUGUUAGUGGAACGGUCUGGAAAGUCCGACGGUACAGGGUGAUAGUCCCGUACACCAAAAUGCACAGGUUGUGAACUCGAAGAGUAGGGCGGGACACGUGGUAUCCUGUCUGAAUAUGGGGGGACCAUCCUCCAAGGCUAAAUACUCCUGACUGACCGAUAGUGAACCAGUACCGUGAGGGAAAGGCGAAAAGAACCCCGGCGAGGGGAGUGAAAAAGAACCUGAAACCGUGUACGUACAAGCAGUGGGAGCACCUUCGGGUGUGACUGCGUACCUUUUGUAUAAUGGGUCAGCGACUUAUAUUCUGUAGCAAGGUUAACCGUAUAGGGGAGCCGCAGGGAAACCGAGUCUUAACUGGGCGUUAAGUUGCAGGGUAUAGACCCGAAACCCGGUGAUCUAGCCAUGGGCAGGUUGAAGGUUGGGUAACACUAACUGGAGGACCGAACCGACUAAUGUUGAAAAAUUAGCGGAUGACUUGUGGCUGGGGGUGAAAGGCCAAUCAAACCGGGAGAUAGCUGGUUCUCCCCGAAAGCUAUUUAGGUAGCGCCUCGUGAACUCAUCUUCGGGGGUAGAGCACUGUUUCGGCUAGGGGGUCAUCCCGACUUACCAACCCGAUGCAAACUACGAAUACCGAAGAAUGUUAUCACGGGAGACACACGGCGGGUGCUAACGUCCGUCGUGAAGAGGGAAACAACCCAGACCGCCAGCUAAGGUCCCAAAGUCAUGGUUAAGUGGGAAACGAUGUGGGAAGGCACAGACAGCCAGGAUGUUGGCUUAGAAGCAGCCAUCAUUUAAAGAAAGCGUAAUAGCUCACUGGUCGAGUCGGCCUGCGCGGAAGAUGUAACGGGGCUAAACCAUGCACCGAAGCUGCGGCAGCGACACUAUGUGUUGUUGGGUAGGGGAGCGUUCUGUAAGCCUGCGAAGGUGUGCUGUGAGGCAUGCUGGAGGUAUCAGAAGUGCGAAUGCUGACAUAAGUAACGAUAAAGCGGGUGAAAAGCCCGCUCGCCGGAAGACCAAGGGUUCCUGUCCAACGUUAAUCGGGGCAGGGUGAGUCGACCCCUAAGGCGAGGCCGAAAGGCGUAGUCGAUGGGAAACAGGUUAAUAUUCCUGUACUUGGUGUUACUGCGAAGGGGGGACGGAGAAGGCUAUGUUAGCCGGGCGACGGUUGUCCCGGUUUAAGCAUGUAGGCUGGUUAUCCAGGCAAAUCCGGAUAAUCAAGGCUGAGGUGUGAUGACGAGGCACUACGGUGCUGAAGUAACAAAUGCCCUGCUUCCAGGAAAAGCCUCUAAGCAUCAGGUAACAUUAAAUCGUACCCCAAACCGACACAGGUGGUCAGGUAGAGAAUACCAAGGCGCUUGAGAGAACUCGGGUGAAGGAACUAGGCAAAAUGGUGCCGUAACUUCGGGAGAAGGCACGCUGGUGUGUAGGUGAAGUCCCUGCGGAUGGAGCUGAGACCAGUCGAAGAUACCAGCUGGCUGCAACUGUUUAUUAAAAACACAGCACUGUGCAAACACGAAAGUGGACGUAUACGGUGUGACGCCUGCCCGGUGCCGGAAGGUUAAUUGAUGGGGUUAUCCGUAAGGAGAAGCUCUUGAUCGAAGCCCCGGUAAACGGCGGCCGUAACUAUAACGGUCCUAAGGUAGCGAAAUUCCUUGUCGGGUAAGUUCCGACCUGCACGAAUGGCGUAAUGAUGGCCAGGCUGUCUCCACCCGAGACUCAGUGAAAUUGAACUCGCUGUGAAGAUGCAGUGUACCCGCGGCAAGACGGAAAGACCCCGUGAACCUUUACUAUAGCUUGACACUGAACAUUGAGCCUUGAUGUGUAGGAUAGGUGGGAGGCUUUGAAGCGUGGACGCCAGUCUGCGUGGAGCCAACCUUGAAAUACCACCCUUUAAUGUUUGAUGUUCUAACGUUGGCCCCU